CUCUUAUUGAGAGUGGCUGAGGGACUGGCCCUGUGACGCCCGGCAACCGUUCAUCGUAAUUCCAGUGAUGAAUAGGUGCUAAAUCCUGCAAAAUACGGACAGUAUUUUGAGAAAUAAGAG
rnacentral:ncRNA from 20 species